GAUCCAGACCCCACUGCAGUCAAUGGAAGUCCUUCCAUUGGCUUCAAUGUGCUUUGCCCCUAAAUGACAGAAUAAUUGAUCUAGAAACAGCCCUUUUACCAAAGAUACAAAAAUAUCAGCAAAUGUUAACAGACCUUAAAAACACAGAAGAUUGUACUUUGAUGGAUACCAUGCUAAUGAAGAAUGAGAUACACUACAGUUACAGUUAAUACAUUGUAAAAUAUACCCGGGGAAUUUUGAGAUGCAACUGGUCAAAUCAAAAAGGAAACAACUACAAUAGUACAGUGACUCUCGUCUUGCUAUGAAAGUGGGAAUGUAUUAUGAUUACAGUAUGAAGAAGGAAGAGCAAUAUAUGUUUUUAGAAAAAGUGAUGCCAAAGUUUUCCAGUUAACGCAAUAAUGUCAAAAAGAAGCUCAGUUAAAAGAAGAUGAGGAUGUAUACUAGAUGUUUUGGAUAAAUGUUCGUUCAUCUAUCAACAGUCAACAUACAUUUGAUUGCAUAUUGAUUUCUUUUUUGUAUAUUACUUUAUACAUCAAAAUGCAACGUGUCUUUUCCGCUUAUCUUUUCAUUACAGGUUUG